AAUUGGCGUGAUCUCUUGAAAACGGGUAAAACGCGCCUACUUCGAUCCAACGGUUGCAGAGUUCUUCUGUUGGUUGUGGGUAGAAUCCACAAAUGUCUGAACCAACCAUGGGAACUCCAAAUAUACCGAAGUUCAACAUAGUU
rnacentral:sRNA from 1 species